rnacentral:rRNA from 1 species
AGCGAACGCUGGCGGCAGGCUUAACACAUGCAAGUCGAGCGGGCGUAGCAAUACGUCAGCGGCAGACGGGUGAGUAACGCGUGGGAACGUACCUUUUGGUUCGGAACAACCCAGGGAAACUUGGGCUAAUACCGGAUAAGCCCUUACGGGGAAAGAUUUAUCGCCAAAGAUCGGCCCGCGUCUGAUUAGCUAGUUGGUGAGGUAACGGCUCACCAAGGCGACGAUCAGUAGCUGGUCUGAGAGGAUGAUCAGCCACAUUGGGACUGAGACACGGCCCAAACUCCUACGGGAGGCAGCAGUGGGGAAUAUU